rnacentral:lncRNA from 1 species
UAAAAGCUAUCUAGACUCCUGGUAACAAGCAAUAUCCAUUUAUUUUGUAUCAACAUCAAGUUGUUUAGAUCUUACUAGCAAAAGAAAGACCUUCCUUCGCAAGCUGAUCUAAACUCUCAACAGGAGGUUGGAGCUUUGCAACCUUGGCAAUAGCCUGGUUUUCCUCAGGAGUGCCAGCCUCCAGAAAUGCACCGAUCACCUUGCCGUCUUUAAUCCAGUAGGUUCCGAACUUGGGCUUUGGUGAGGUGGGAUUGUUGUCUCCAAAGAGCACGGUCUCACCAACAUUAUCACCAUAGAAUUGCCAUGACAGAUCAAAGGAG